CUGGAAACACCCUAAAUGAAAGCUACCUUGUAUGGGGCCCUGUGAGUGGCUGCGACUUUUGUACGUGGGACCUCCCCUGACUAGGCUCAGACACAGCUCCUGAGCUCAGAGACCUGGGACUUGAAUUAUGAGAUUGGUGACAGGAAUAACUCUUCUCCUCACUUUAGGAAUUGUGGGAGAUGCUAAGACCACACAGCCAGUUUCAGUGGAGAGCACUGAAGAAGAUGCCGUGCACUUGCCCUGUAACCACUCCACCAUCAGUGGAAGCGAGUUCAUAUACUGGUAUCGACAGCUGCCCCACCAGGGUCCAGAAUACAUGAUUCAUGGUCUGAAAGGCAAUGUGAACAAUAAGAUGGCCUCUCUGAACAUCGAAAUAGACAGAAAGUCCAGCACCUUGGUCCUGCCCCAUGUUAUGCUGAGAGACACUGCUGUGUACUACUGCAUCCUGAGAGACCCACAGUGGGACAGAUGGGGCUGCACCUGUACAACAUGUCCUUAGUGGGG